ACCUGCAUGGAGUAGUGGUAACUCGCCGGUGUCCGACACUCUACAGUCAGAUAGCCGGAAACCUGGGUUCGAUCCCCAGUGUAGGUU